ACAUUGCUCGAGCGGAGAAAGACCGUUAAAAGAAGAAAAACGGAGUAAAAAAAGAACAGUAAUAGUUUCUAAAAAGGAAGUAAAAGAAAAGACUAUUAUAAAAUUUUCCUCGAGAGAUUUUUGUAUAUUAUGUUUUACAAAUCCCAUUAUUGUGACUCUCACUUUCUGGCGACUCGACCGGUGAAAACUGCAACCGUACCGCACUUAUAUCAAGAUCUGCAUCUUACGUAAGCGCGACACAGGAUCAGUUAGAUACUUUCGAAGAUUAUCUGCCCAAUUAAUCUGCCAAGGCAAACCGCAAGGAAUUCGACCUUUCUCCGGUUCCAACAAGAUUGUCACGCGAACACCAUGCUUCCGCGUAUCCUGAGACUUCCGGGAAACUGCAGAAAAAUCCUCGUUCCUGCUGGACCUUCUACAGCGGGAAUGUGAAGUGCGAUUGACUGCAGUGAGCAACAACUAUUGUCGCCGGUGUAACCAGGCACUGAGAAGGGGCUAUUAACAGUGACAUGUCUCUCAUUAAAAAAUCUCCCGCGAGUGCCGUGGGUCUCUCGCGUGUGACUCAUAAUUAUCGCUAAGGCAAAUUCUUCUUGAGGCUUGAGCGAGCAACCAAUGACGUUCGUAUUCUGCAAUACGCUUGCCUGCUUGAUUUUUGUAAUAUUCGCGCGUGUAUGUACGUUGUUAGUAUUAUUCCACUGAUUUCGCGUCUUGAUAUCGAUCUGAUUCUAAUCAAGAAGGAGGAAUAGAUUACAGUAAAAAUAACAGUAAACAUGAACGUUGUAAUGACUUUGUCGUUGUGAAAGACUAAUUGUAAUUUUUACACAGUCUUAUUACUAAUGUCUGAUGUAAAACUUGAAGAAUUCUGAGAA